rnacentral:rRNA from 1 species
AACGAACGCUGGCGGCAUGCCUAACACAUGCAAGUCGAACGAGACCUUCGGGUCUAGUGGCGCACGGGUGCGUAACGCGUGGGAACCUGCCCUUAGGUUCGGAAUAACUCCCCGAAAGGGGUGCUAAUACCGGAUAAUGUCUUCGGACCAAAGAUUUAUCGCCUUUGGAUGGGCCCGCGUUGGAUUAGCUAGUUGGUAGGGUAAAAGCCUACCAAGGCGACGAUCCAUAGCUGGUCUGAGAGGAUGAUCAGCCACACUGGGACUGAGACACGGCCCAGACUCCUACGGGAGGCAGCAGUGGGGAAUAUUGGGCAAUGGGCGAAAGCCUGAUCCAGCAAUGCCGGGUGAGUGAUGAAGGCCUUAGGGUUGUAAAGCUCUUUUACCCGGGAUGAUAAUGACAGUACCGGGAGAAUAAGCUCCGGCUAACUCCGUG